CCCAUAUCCACAGCAGGUCUCCAAGGUAAACAGCCUCUGGCAUGUUAUAACAAUGCAGGUAAGGGAAGUCGGCAAAUCAGAUCCGUAACUUCGGGAUAAGGAUUGGCUCUAAGGGCUGGAUUGGUCGGGC